CCUACGGGAGGCUGCAGUGGGGAAUAUUGCACAAUGGGGGAAACCCUGAUGCAGCGACGCCGCGUGAGUGAAGAAGUAUUUCGGUAUGUAAAGCUCUAUCAGCAGGGAAGAAAUAGCGACCUUUGGGUCGCCAGACGGUACCUGACUAAGAAGCCCCGGCUAACUACGUGCCAGCAGCCGCGGUAAUACGUAGGGGGCACGCGUUAUCCGGAUUUACUGGGUGUAAAGGGAGCGUAGACGGCAGCACAAGUCUGAAGUGAAAUGCCGGGGCUCAACCGCGGCGCUACCGCCAAAACUAUUAGACUAGAGUGCAGGAGGGGUAAGUGGAAUUCCUAGUGUAGCGGUGGAAUGCGUAGAUAUUAGGAGGAACAUCAGGGGCGAAGGCGACUUACUGGACUGUAACUGACACUGAGGCACGAAAGCGUGGGGAGCAAACAGGAUUAGAUACCCCAGUAGUC
rnacentral:rRNA from 1 species